GUGUUUUCAGUCAGCGAAAUUGAAUCUUGCUCUGGUGGCUAUAGUGUUGAUAUGGGUUUGUGGAUGUUGUCCCUCUGUCUGCUCCAGGUGCCGGCUCAUGGCUGGGUCAUUGCUGACUGUGACUCCAGUAAGUGUCCCUUCUGCAACAAGAAGAUCAAGACCCUGGAAGGGAAGCACUGGAGAAGGAUGAAGAGGGAAGGAGGAAUUCCACGGAGGACACUAGCCUAGAGGACAUCACCCCAGACGGGCACAUUCUGCAGAUUUCUCCAAUUCCAGACACCCACCCUCUUCUGGUCUUUGUGAACCCAAAGAGUGGAGGGAAGCAGGGGGAGAGAGUGAUGACGAAGUUCCACUAUUUAUUGAACCCACGGCAGGUCAUCAACUUCUCCAACGGAGGACCUGGACCCCGGUAAAUACAAGUGCAGUUUGACCAUCUCGGGGUGGGAGGGAAGUGGACUGUACUAUUACAUAAACUAUCUGUUAUGUCCUUGUUACGACAGUAACUGUCUUAUGUCGAAGGGUUCAUGUAAGGUUCAUGUAAUGUGCUACCUUUUUUUAACCAAUUUCCAAUUUGGAGAUCUGUGUGACAUAUUUAGUUAAAUUAUAUCUUAAUUCUUAUUAACUGUUAUUUCCACUAUGAAUGUGUAUCAUUGUGUGCUCUUGCUUUGGCUUGCUCUUUGGGGUUUGGGCCGGGUGACUGUAAAAACACUUUGUGACAACUGCUGAUGUAAAUGGGGGGGUUGAGGAGAGCUCAUUGGUUCCUAUGGACCUCUGGCAUGUGCAGGGGAUUCAAAAGCAUAUGACAAUGUAUAGUAUUUUCAUGUGUUCUGUUCUCUACCACAGACCCGAGUGACAAGCGGAUUGAGGUGGUGGGGUUGUCGGGGCUAUCGAAAUGGUUCGGAUCUAUUCUGGGCUGCCUAUGUAGAUUGAUGGUGAGCCCUGCCUAUGUAGAUUGAUGGUGAGCCCUGCCUAUGUAGAUUGAUGGUGAGCCCGUCUAUGUAGAUUGAUGGUGAGCCCUGCCUAUGUAGAUUGAUGGUGAGCCCUGCCUAUGUAGAUUGAUGGUGAGCCCUGCCUAUGUAGAUUGAUGGUCAGCACUGCCUAUGUAGAUUGAUGGUGAGCACUGCCUAUGUAGAUUGAUGGUGAGCACUGCCUAUGUAGAUUGAUGGUGAGCCCUGCCUAUGUAGAUUGAUGGUGAGCCCUGCCUAUGUAGAUUGAUGGUGAGCCCUGCCUAUGUAGAUUGAUGGUGAGCCCUGCCUAUGUAGACUGAUGGUGAGCACUGCCUAUGUAGAUUGAUGGUGAGCACUGCCUAUGUAGAUUGAUGGUGAGCACUGCCUAUGUAGAUUGAUGGUGAGCCCUGCCUAUGUAGAUUGAUGGUGAGCCCUGCCUAUGUAGAUUGAUGGUGAGCCCUACCUAUGUAGAUUGAUGGUGAGCCCUACCAAUGUAGAUUAAUGGUGAGCACUGCCUAUGUAGAUUGAUGGUGAGCCCUACCAAUGUAGAUUAAUGGUGAGCCCUACCAAUGUAGAUUGAUGGUGAGCCCUACCUAUGUAGAUUAAUGGUGAGCCCUACCAAUGUAGAUUGAUGGUGAGCCCUACCAAUGUAGAUUAAUGGUGAGCACUGCCUAUGUAGAUUGAUGGUGAGCCCUACCUAUGUAGAUUGAUGGUGAGCCCUACCAAUGUAGAUUAAUGGUGAGCACUGCCUAUGUAGAUUGAUGGUGAGCCCUACCAAUGUAGAUUAAUGGUGAGCCCUACCAAUGUAGAUUAAUGGUGAGCCCUGCCUAUGUAGAUUGAUGGUGAGCCCUACCAAUGUAGAUUAAUGGUGAGCCCUACCAAUGUAGAUUAAUGGUGAGCCCUACCAAUGUAGAUUGAUGGUGAGCCCUGCCAAUGUAGAUUAAUGGUGAGCCCUGCCAAUGUAGAUUAAUGGUGAGCGCUGCCUAUGUAGAUUGAUGGUGAGCCCUACCAAUGUAGAUUAAUGGUGAGCCCUACCAAUGUAGAUUAAUGGUGAGCCCUGCCUAUGUAGAUUGAUGGUGAGCCCUACCAAUGUAGAUUAAUGGUGAGCCCUACCAAUGUAGAUUGAUGGUGAGCCCUACCAAUGUAGAUUAAUGGUGAGCCCUACCAAUGUAGAUUGAUGGUGAGCCCUACCAAUGUAGAUUGAUGGUGAGCCCUGCCAAUGUAGAUUAA